AGAGUUUGAUCCUGGCUCAGAGUGAACGCUGGCGGCGUGGAUUAGGCAUGCAAGUCGAGCGAUCUUUCAUUUUUUUUGAAGUGGUAGCAAUACUGUUUCAAGAGAAAUGUUUGAUAGCGGCAAACUGGUGAGUAACGCGUGAGUAACUUACCUCUAAAUCGGAUAUAGCCUGGCGAAAGUCAGGGUAAUCUCUGAUGUGUCCAAUUUCCCAUAAGGGGUUUUGGGUAAAGUUAGCCCGCAAGGGCUGAUGUUUAGAGAUGGACUCGCGUCCUAUCAGCUAGUUGGUAGGGUAAUGGCCUACCAAGGCAUUUGACGGGUAGCUGGCCUGAGAGGGUGGUCAGCCACACGGGGAUUGAGAUACUGCCCCGACUCCUACGGGAGGCUGCAGUCGAGGAUAUUUAGCAAUGGGCGAAAGCCUGACUAUGUGACGCCGCGUGAGGGAUGAAGGUCUUCGGAUCGUAAACCUCUUUCGAUGGGAAAGAAAUCUCCGCCAUAAAUAGUGGCGGAGGCUGACGGUACCCAGAGAAGAAGCCACGGCUAACUCCGUGCCAGCAGCCGCGGUAAUACGGAGGUGGCGAGCGUUACUCGGAUUCAUUGGGUGUAAAGGGCAGGUAGGUGGCUAUGUAAGUUGGAGGUGAAAUCCUUUGGCUUAACCAAAGAACUGCCUUCAAAACUGCAUAGCUUGAGGCCAAAAGAGGAGAGCGGAAUUCCCGGUGUAAGGGUGAAAUCUGUAGAUAUCGGGAGGAACACCAGUGGCGAAGGCGGCUCUCUGGUCUGGUCCUGACACUGAGCUGCGAAAGCUAGGGGAGCAAACAGGAUUAGAUACCCUGGUAGUCC
rnacentral:rRNA from 1 species